rnacentral:rRNA from 1 species
UACGGCGAGUGAGCGGCAAGAGCUCAACUUUGGAAUCGCUCCGGCGAGUUGUAGUCUGGAGGUGGCCACCACGAGGUGUUCUAGCAGCAGGCAAGUCCUUUGGAACAAGGCGCCAGCGAGGGUGACAGCCCCGUACCUGCUUUUGCUAGUGCUUCCUGUGGCCAAACCGACGAGUCGAGUUGUUUGGGAAUGCAGCUCUAAGUGGGUGGUAAAUUCCAUCUAAGGCUAAAUAUUGGCGAGAGACCGAUAGCGAACAAGUACAGUGAUGGAAAGAUGAAAAGCACUUUGAAAAGAGAGUGAAACAGUACGUGAAAUUGUUGAAAGGGAAGGGCUUGCACCCAGACACGGUUUCGGCCGGGCCAGCAUCAAGUAGAACGGGGUUAAAAGACUUGGGGAAUGUAGCUACUUCGGUAGUGUUAUAGCCCUUGGUGAUGACCCCUGUUUUGCUUGAGGACAGCGGUCUCUAGGAUGCUGGCGCAAUGGUUGCAAGCCACCCGU